GGGAAUAGUCCGCAAAAAUAAAGGGUAAAUAACAGAAGUUUACACCAGUGUAAUGGUAUGACCUAUAUGCCCUCCUUUGAUCAUGUUUUCUGCUAGUAAGAUCUCCGGUUUGAGAGCGAUCCCGUAGUCCCCAGACAUCAUGGUGGAUAGCCUAAAAAAUGACAUUUUCUCGCUAGUUACGGAUGCGAUUCAGAUCGUCGGGGUAGCAACU
rnacentral:misc_RNA from 1 species